GCGGCUACUGCUAUCAGGUUUCGACUAAGCCAUGCGAGUCAAGGGGUCGUAAGACACCGGCGUACUGCUCAGUAACACGCGGACAAUCUACCCCCAGGUGGAGGAUAACCUCGGGAAACUGAGGCUAAUACCCCAUAGUUGUCAUGUGCUGGAAUGCUUUGACGAUGAAAGAAUUUCGCCUGAGGAUGAGUCUGCGGCCUAUCAGGUAGUAUGUGGUGUAAAGGACCACAUAGCCUAAGACGGGUACGGGCCUUGAAAGAGGGAGCCCGGAGAUGGACUCUGAGACACUAGUCCAGGCCCUACGGGGCGCAGCAGGCGCGAAAACUGUGCAAUGCGCGCAAGCGCGACACGGGAAGCCUGAGUGCCUUAACUAUGUUAAGGCUUUUCUUGAUCCUAAAAAGCUCAAGGAAUAAGAGCUGGGUAAGACGGGUGCCAGCCGCCGCGGUAACACCCGCGGCUCGAGUGGUAGUCACUUUUAUUGAGCCUAAAGCGCUUGUAGCCGGAUUUGUAAAUCUCUAGGAAAAUACUUCUGCUUAACUGAAGAAAUUUUGGAGAGACUGCAAAUCUAGGGACCGGGUGAGGUUGAAUGUACUUCUGGGGUAGGGGUAAAAUCCUGUAAUCCUGGAAGGACGACCGGUGGCGAAGGCGUUCAACUAGAACGGAUCCGACGGUGAGGAACGAAGGCUAGGGGAGCAAACCGGAUUAGAUACCCGGGUAGUCCUAGCUGUAAACACUGCCCACUUGGUGUUGCAUCUCCGGUAAGGGGGUGCAGUGCCGUAGCGAAGGUGUUAAGUGGGCCGCUUGGGGAGUAUGGUCGCAAGGCUGAAACUUAA
rnacentral:rRNA from 1 species